rnacentral:lncRNA from 1 species
UUUUCUUUAGCUACAGGCUACUCUUUUCCAUGCCACUGUUGUUUAGGCGAAAGAAUAGGUCUUGGUAUCAAUCAAUUGAAAUAAAGAAAAGAAAGAUCAAGCUUACUUUAGGGAAGAAAAGAAGCUACAGCUACGGAUGGAUCACCAGAAGCAAACAAAAGGGUGUUGCGUAUAGACAUAGACAUAGACCCACGUAGCGGUAAUCUGAAUCAUAGGCUAUUAAAAGAAACAGAAAUAUAGCCAGGUUCUUGUUCGACUUGCUAAUGAAGUCUCAAGUAAGGCUAGAUAGGGUCUCAAGUGCAAGUGAUCAGAAGGUUAGCUUUGCCAGGACAGGAUACCUUCGUCAAUCAGUGUUAUCGCAUUAAGAAGCGGUGCCCAGAAUCUGCAUAAGAUUUCUCAGGAUCAGAGGCUUUGCUUGUUAAUUCUUCUGUUCGAAAGGGAAGUGCAGGUGAUUCAGUUGUCGAUUCAUAAAGUGACGGAGUGUGUCAAUUCAUUAUUUCUAUUAAGAUGCUGGAAAGAUGGAUUCAUUUCAUUCUUUUAUUUACUGCAAGAAGAUAUUCAGCGUGAAGGAUUGUUUUGUAUCCGAGAUUGGAAGCAGUUAAGGCCCACUCCGCGGUUGGUUAAGGGAAGAAAAGAAUCAGGCAGGGGAAGAAACAGUUUCAAGAGAAGGAUAAGACUCCGCGUGCGGUAUCAAAUGAGCGGGUAAAUUCUCUCUUAAGGGCAGGUUGAAUCUCAUCUAACAGUACAAACAAGAACAAGUAAGGGCGGGUUGAAUCUCAUCUAACAGUACAAACAAGAACAAGCUGUGCUAUUUACUCAUAUAAGAAGAACAAGCCAAGCAGUGCUAUUGACUCAUAUUUAUACACCACAUGUGCAACGGAGAGAAAAUCAAUAUCUUUCACUUUGCCAAAGUCUGAAGGAUACUCUACUUACUUGUUCCAUAGGGGCUCCCCCUUUCUUUAUAGUAAUCCUUCUUUCUAGAGCGGCGAAGAGUAAUUGCACUUGCGCCAACAAACACUACUGACUUUUACCAGCUUCAUCUGAUCCAGCUCUCUCUUAUGAUACAGCUCAGCUCCCUCUUAUAAAACAUAUUCCUUUCCCGCUUCCUCACCUCACCCUCUCUUGGUAACAAGCUUAUGGGAGUGGAAAGCAAGAGCAAGAAUCAAAAUGGAUGAAUAUUAGAAUAGGGUACGCAUAUAGAGCGCAUAUAGAGAUAUUAAUUCCAUUCUGACUUUAUAGUAUAUUCAUUCAACCUAUUAGUAUCAUUCGACUUAAUCAAUUCUUCGCUAUCAUUCAAAGGGUAAAUCAAAGAAGAGCCUCCAUUCCUCUGGAACAAAAGAAUGGGGUAUAAUCCUAAGGUGAGUUCUCCCACUCCUUUAAUACCCCUAAUGAAUGCCCAUUUAAGGUCUUUUGAGUUCCAUUCAAUACAGUAAAGGGGGAUCCAAACUCAUUCUGGAGCUUCUCCCUCUUUGGAAUGCAUUUGAUGUAUGUUUCCAUACCCUUAAUAGCAGAGCUCGGUGUUGGGUCAAUAGAUUCUAGCUUUCUGUUCUGGUUUUGUAAGGAAAGGAAGCAACGGCCUUAAAUGUCACCUAUAAAGCAAAAGUAAGCAAUGCUGUAAGGAAAGGAAGCAAAGCAACUAUGGCAUUUUAGGGAGUUUGUAAGGAAAGGAAGCAAGCCCAAGUGCGUAACCAGAAGCCGUUUGCGCAAGUUAGCGAGUUGGCAAUUAGUGUCAUAUACAAUAGGAGCCGAACGCGAGUCAGUUGCAAGCUCAGCGGGGGGAAGGUUCGUGGAAGUCAAAUUGCUAUAGGGUUAAUAGAAUGGACUGUGCUAGUAUAAUCCUAGUGCUUUUGUUGUCGACGAGUCUCUUUUCUAGUGUUUGAUUGCCUUGGACUUAUAUGAUUCUUGAGCCCCGAGAGUAACCCUUAGCAUCCCUCAUUUAUUCGCUUUAAGCUUUCAUUUAAGCCCUCUUGUCCUGCUUGAGCUUAAAGGCAUGGAAGUACCUGAGUUCACCUACCUGUCUUUAUCAGCUAACAGUUCUUUUCUUCUAAUUAUGAUUAGAAUCCAUCCUAUUCCUUUCCU